rnacentral:rRNA from 1 species
AGCAGUCGCCGCGAUAAUACAGAGGGUGCGAGCGUUAAUCGGAUUUACUGGGCGUAAAGCGUGCGUAGGCGGCUUCUUAAGUCGGAUGUGAAAUCCCUGAGCUUAACUUAGGAAUUGCAUUCGAUACUGGGAAGCUAGAGUAUGGGAGAGGAUGGUAGAAUUCCAGGUGUAGCGGUGAAAUGCGUAGAGAUCUGGAGGAAUACCGAUGGCGAAGGCAGCCAUCUGGCCUAAUACUGACGCUGAGGUACGAAAGCAUGGGGAGCAAACAGGAUUAGAUACCCCGGUAGUCCCUGUCUCUUAUAC